CACUCUCUGCUGAUAUGACUGACCAUGACACAUGGCAGUUGAUCUCUUGUUUUUGCUUGAAUUCAGCAUCAGUCAACUUGGGACUUUGAGGGUGCUAUCUUUCUUUUGUUUUUUUUCUUUUGAUUUUGCUUUUGAUUUUGCUUUCUUUUGAUUUCUUUUGAUUUUGCACCCUCCUCUUUCUCUUUUUUUUUUCUUUUUUCUCUUUUUUUUUUUAUAAAUGCCCCAGUUGGCUGUUCUGCUGAUUCUCG
rnacentral:lncRNA from 1 species